GCCGGGUGUGGUGACUCACACCUGUAAUCCCAGCACUCUGGGAGGCUGAGGCAGGAGGAUCACUUGAGCCCAGGAGUUUGAGACCAGCCUGGGCAACAUAGUGGGACUCUGUCUCUG
rnacentral:SRP_RNA from 1 species